AGGCAAUUUCUGAGUGAAUAAGACUGUAAAUUUUAUUGCGCUCAAGUUAUAUUAAUAUUGCU
rnacentral:tRNA from 1 species